rnacentral:rRNA from 1 species
AACGAACGCUGGCGGCAUGCCUAACACAUGCAAGUCGAACGAGACCUCCGGGACUAGUGGCGCACGGGGGCGUAACGCGUGGGAACCUGGCCUUAGGCUCGGGAUAAUACCCCGAAAGGGGUGCUAAUACCGGAAAAUGUACUCGGAUAAAAUAUUUAUCGCCCUUGGAUGGGCCCGCGUUGGAUUAGCCGGUUGGUAGGGUAAGAGCCUACCAGGGCGACGCUCCAUAGCCGGUCUGAGAGGAUGAUCAGCCACACUGGGACUGGGACACGGCCCAGACUCCUACGGGAUGCAGCAGUGGGUGAUAUUGCACUACCGGCUAAAGCCUGAUCCAGCUAUGCCGCGUGAGUGAUGAAGUCCUGAGAGUUGUAAAGCUCUUUUACCCGGGAUUAUAAUGACGGUACCGGGAGAAUAAGCACCGGCUAACUCCGUG